rnacentral:rRNA from 1 species
AAUUUUGGACAAUGGUUGAAACCCUGAUCCAGCCAUCCCGCGUGUAUGAUUAAGGCCUUCUAGUUAUAAAGUACUUUUGGCAGAGAAAAAAAGGUAUCUCCUAAUACGAGAUACUGCUGACGGUAUCUGCAGAUUAAGCACCGGCUAACUACCUGCCAGCAGCCGCGGUAAUACGUAGGGUGCAAGCGUUAAUCGGAAUUACUGGGCGUCAAGCGUGUGUAGGCGGUACGGAAAGAAAGAUGUGAAAUCCCAGGGCUCAACCUUGGAACUGCAUUUUUAACUGCCGAGCUAGAGUAUGUCAGAGGGGGGUAGAAUUCCACGUGUAGCAGUGAAAUGCGUAGAUAUGUGGAGGAAUACCGAUGGCGAAGGCAGCCCCCUGGGAUAAUACUGACGCUCAGACACGAAAGCGUGGGGAGCAAACAGG